rnacentral:rRNA from 1 species
UACGUAGGGUGCGAGCGUUAAUCGGAAUUACUGGGCGUAAAGCGUGCGCAGGCGGUUCGUUGUGUCGGCGGUGAAAGCCCCGGGCUUAACCUGGGAAUGGCCGUUGAAACUGGCGAACUGGAGUGUGGCAGAGGGGGGUGGAAUUCCGCGUGUAGCAGUGAAAUGCGUAGAGAUGCGGAGGAACGCCGAUGGCGAAGGCAGCCCCCUGGGCUAACACUGACGCUCAGGCACGAAAGCGUGGGGAGCAAACAGG